rnacentral:rRNA from 1 species
GUGGGGGAUAUUGCGCAAUGGGGGAAACCCUGACGCAGCAACGCCGCGUGAAGGAAGAAGGUUUUCGGAUCGUAAACUUCUUUAAGUUGGGAAGAUAAUGACGGUACCAACAGAAUAAGCCACGGCUAACUACGUGCCAGCAGCCGCGGUAAUACGUAGGUGGCAAGCGUUGUCCGGAUUUACUGGGUGUAAAGGGCGUGUAGGCGGGACUUUAGGUCAGAUGUGAAAUACCGAGGCUUAACUUCGGAGCUGCAUUUGAAACCAAAGUUCUUGAGUGCCGGAGAGGAAAGCGGAAUUCCUAGUGUAGCGGUGAAAUGCGUAGAUAUUAGGAGGAACACCAGUGGCGAAGGCGGCUUUCUGGACGGUAACUGACGCUGAGGCGCGAAAGCGUGGGGAGCAAACAGGAUUAGAAACCCCUGUAGUCC